rnacentral:lncRNA from 1 species
UCUCUGUCUUUCAAAACAUAGCAGCAUCAAUCGAUGUCAAGAGCUUUUCUUUGCUUUUGUCCUCUGGACAAAACUCCAUUCUUUUUAUGAGACCCAGAGGUCUCCCCUCAAUUUCUGGCAUUUGAUUGUACUUGGAAGAGAUUGUAAUCUCAAUUGGAGGGUCCGGAUUUUUCCUUCUGCAGAGUGGCUGCUUAGGAUUUGAUGGACGAUGGGCUCGAGACAGAAAAGGGCUGGUAAUCUUCUUCCCCUUCCACUCCCGGUUUCUCCCAGUUUUCCCUCUUGUUCUUCUUCAUCUUCCUCCCUCCCUCGAGUAGUUAGGGCUAAUUUUUUCUGUUUUCCUAUCAUUUUCCUGAUAUUUCUAUUUCAUUGGCUAAAAGCAGCAAAUCUUUUUUUUUUCUCUCAUCUCUGUCGUGUCCUUUUGUGAAACAGUAAGGACAGGGAAGGUCAAUAUUUCAUCUCCACUAUCUGAUGUGAAUUUCUAGAAUGCAGAUAUAUGGUACUUUUCUUCCCCUUUCUUUCCAUGAUUAAUGUCUCUGUUUCAUUUCUGUUUUAUCAUUGAUUUUUAAUUUUUAAUCAGAAGAAAAACUUUUAAUAUGGUCUGAGAUGAUGAAUAAUUGAUGAUUAGCUAGCUUUUAGAUAUUUAUUUACUUUCUUUUUUGUAUCUAUUUGGUGAUUUAUUGUUCCAUUUUUCGUUUUUGUCUUGGAUUUCUUCUGGAGUUCGGAGGAAAAAUGGCCACUUGUGAAAAACAACUGGUGAGUGAAAAUGUAAGUUUGCUGCAUCAAUCUGAUUUAAUUUUUCCCUCUUCCACGCCUGGUUUAGGAUUUGAUGGAUGAUUUUUUUUCCAUUUUUUUUGUUCUUUUGGUGCUACUUUUCCAAGUAUAUUAUUGGUUGUUGUUACAGGAAGGAAUAUGAAAACUUGAAGUUGACAUCUCUAAGAAGUAGUUAAAGCUGGUAAUAUUUAUUUGUGUUCUACUAUUUAUACUAUAAACCAUAGUCUUUUUCUGUAAAUGGUUUCUCUCACCUAAUUUAGCCUAUUUUUGUUUAUUGAGGUUGUUGUCAGAGAAAGGAUAAAGGUAAAAGUGAUUGGAAGAAUGAGCAAAUUUCUUCCGGUGUUUUGUGUUUUGGGUUUUAUUGUGUUUGUCAAAGUAAAUUAGAUACAGUAUCUUUUUCUUCUGUAUCUUCUUUUUUUCCCUUGGCUGGCAAACAUAAUGAAUCUGUUAUAUAAACUACUUGGUAUUCUUCGUAAUGUCAAGAUUUGGGAAGCUGUAUGAUGAAAUCUUUAUUUCAUAGUCGAUUUUUCUGGUUUUGUGGUUUUAACGUGCAAAGUGAAAUCAUUAUUAUGACUAACUUCCUUGAGGAUGUUUUGAUCAGUUCAUGAUUCAUGAGAUACAUAGUUAUAUGGAUUACAUAAAUGGAGUUUCAAAAGCAAAAUCCAUUUAAUCUACUAUGAAGAUACCAUCUUUCCUCUUUUAAAUUACUAAAAAAACUUGGCUCGAUCUUUGACUGGAAAAAUUAUGUUCAGAAAAUAGUAUUCCUGUGCGUCACACAAUUGACAUUUGAUGUUGGACCCAAUAUUGCAUUUAAAAAAAAAAAAGAAAAAUUGGAAAAUAAUGCAUAGGAACUUCUCUAGAAUUUGCUUCCAUAUAUAUGUACAAUGUUUUGUUCCCUUUGGGGAAAUUUCAUCAGUGACAUUAUUUUUAUUGAUUGAUUUCUGUUGGUAAGACCAGCUUUUAUACUCUCUCAAUAGAUUUCUUCUCUUGUUUCUGUUAUCGCCAUUUUUUUUUGUGGAUUCUUCUUUCUUCUAAGCAACUUUAAAGGUUCUUUUCUUUAUAUGAAUAUGUUAUUAUUGGGGUACAUCUAAUCCUAAUCCUACUUCUGUAGCAGGAAAUGACCAUACAUUGGGUUUUGUUACUGGUGGGUCUGCUCAUGUUCAAAUGCAACUUAGCACCAAAGAGUGUGAGAGUCUGGGAUUAACUGGUCUGGCUCUCUGCUUAGACUGCAACACCUUUGCUGAGUAUGUCAAGGACCAAGGUUGUACCUUUAUUAUAUGAAUUUUGUUGAUCCUCAGAUAUUUAUGGUUUUUGGUGGAUUUUACUUCUGGGUUUUGAUGGGUUUUUUGAAUUGAUUACUUGCUGGUAAGUACAUGGGUUGUAAAAUGGUAAUAUUUGGGAUUCUUGUUUCUGUACUAUAGCUGAUUGGUUGUCAAAAUUAACGAAUAGUGGGAGAUAGAUGCAAUUCUUAUUGCUUUUAGUUGAUUUAAGGUCUGGGUUUUUUUUUGUUUGGAUUUAUGAAUUGCUUAUUUAUAUGUGAGAUGUCAAUGGUGAUAAUUUGGAAGGAGAACUUGAAAAAGGCUAUGUUUUUAUACAAAUCAGAUCGAGAGACUAUGCUUAUAACAGUAAAUAAGUGUAUUUUGACUUUUGUUGUUUUCACUAUAAUUUUUUGUGAUUAAGUUUUGUCAAAAUAUGGAUGGGUAAAUAGUAUUUUGGAAGAUUUCUCUUUUUUCUUUUUGUACCUCAGAUAGCUUAAGGAUAAUUGCAGAAAUCGAAAUAAGAUCCUCAUUGGGAUUCUUAAAUUAUCUCAUGCAAUUAGUGGCGUUAAAUUGUAAUCUGUAGAAUUCCAAGUAACUAGCCUGGAUUAUGGUGAUGGUUCAGUUUUGUUGCUCUUGAGGAUGUUUUGCACCUGAGCUGACGAUGAUCAAGGCAUGCAAGAACAAUAGUUCUACGAUCAUGAUUUCCUAAGUUACGACUUGUAGUUCAUUAUAUUUGAUGAUUAGGACCAUACGCAUUAAAUUGGAAUAUUCUAUUGGCAUCCUUUAUUGUACCAAAUGAAGUACUAUCAAGACAAAUUCUGAAUGGAAAUAUGCCAUUUUUUGAAACCUAUACCAGAGAACCCUUAUUCUUCAACCCUUUUACAUCCAUUCUGGUGAAUUUGAAAAAUUUAAAUAGCUGAAACUUGUGUAACAGAAUUCAUCAAUUAUAUAAUGACUUAGAUUUGUUAAAGAAUUUUGGAUUGUAAGAUUACAAUAAACUUUUUGAACAUUCUGCAAUAAUUUACUUAAGAGGAAGAAAAUUGCUCAUGUCGUCAAGAAAUCCUGGAUGUUUGACAAGAUCUGCAUUUAACAUAUCCAGUUUAGAUGGCAACUUAUAUAGAUUUCUGUAUAAUAUUGGAAUGAUCUUUUUUAGCAUUCCGCAAAUAAUAUACUAAGUAGAAUAUGAUAAUCUGGAAAAUCCGAUGUUUGAAAAGACUCCGGAUGCAGUUUAGAUUUGUCAGUGCCUCUCAGAAAUCUGCCCCUUGGCUUUACCUUAGGCUUAGAGAUGGCUUGCUGGAUUGGUCUAUUUUUAUCUAUUGAUUUUCAUUGUGAAUUUUUGUGUCCAAAGCUUGGUUUUGACUUUCUUGGUUUUGCAUCUGCAUCACCGCAUGAAGCUGCAGCCGGGGAAAACUUCAUUGACAGAGUUUUCAUUAUGGGUCUAUAGAGACUGCAUUUUGGAGAUCUCUUUUGUAUGUGGAUAGGAUUAUAUGUUAUUUUAAAGUUUCUUUUAUGCAAAAAAAAAAAGGAAAAAGAAAAAGAAAAAAAGAUGUUAAAUUUGUUGUAUGUUGUUGACGUAAAACAUAUCUUGCAUCUGAAAUAUUUUCAUUGUGUAAUUAUUUGAUUUGGUUUUUCAAAACUCAUUCAUUGUCGUAAUAAGAUUUUAGACACGAGAUAAUGGCUUGUUUCUCUUAUCAGUUAUAUGUAGAUCUUUAGUCCACCAUUAUCAGUUAUAACUACGUGAUUUAUAGGCUAAAAUGCAUAUGUUGUUUUUUAUUUUCUGUUCUUUAUUUGUAUACCUAGCAUUCAUGUUUGAGAAAAAAUUGAUUGGCAGGAGGUAUUUAUCCGAAUAAGAUGGUGGCUCAAAAUGCGUGGCUCAAAAUGCAUCUGCUGUUUAUUGGCUUUCUAUUCUUUAUUUAUAUAUCCAACAUUAAUGUUUGACAAAAAGUUGAAUGGCAAGAGGUAUUAUUCAAAUAUAAUGGUGGCUCAAACUUAGGAGUAGGGAAUAUGUUCUUGACGACUUUGUUUAUAUUUCAUGUUUUAUUAUUUCCUUACAAUUUUGCAAUGAAGUGUGGCAAAAACUACGGGUGCGUUACCUGUGAUUUAACAAGAUUGUCAUUAUACUAUUUACACAAAAUGUUAUUAAAUUCUAAUAUGAUUCCUUCUUGGCAGAUCUGAUUGAUAUUUGGAUAGCUGGAACUUGGAAGCUAAUGGAAGCUUAUGGAGUUUUGUCAUGAAUGCUUGAUACUUUGUUUUAUCCUUUCCAAUAUCUUUACCAGAAGUCAUUAGUUACUUCAACAGCCACUUGCUAUAGUAGAGAUAUCAAACUUUGUGAUGCUUUUUUUUUUUUUAAUUUUGACCACUAAUACAUAGUUCCACUAUAAUUGGCUGAUUGAACGCGACGGAAGAUAAGAAAGACGAGAGGCAUUUCUAGAAAUAGCAGUCAAUAUUUCUGGAUGAAUGUAUCUUAUAUCUUAAAUUGUAACUUUUCACAGGUAAUGAGGUGCAUCGUACAGUUGGUGAGCUUAUCUCAAUUAUGUGUUAUUAUGCUCUUCAACUUUAUUAGUGUUA